rnacentral:rRNA from 1 species
AUUGAACGCUGGCGGCAGGCCUAACACAUGCAAGUCGAGCGGACGCAGGGAGAUAGCUCCUUGAUUCAGCGGCCGACGGGCGCGUUAUUGCUAGAGAUCUACGAGGUAACUGGUGAUACCGUCCGGAAACAGGCACUCUUACCCUACUCCCCCUGAGGGCGUACGGGGUGAAUCUUCGGCUCUUCUGCUCUUUGAUGAUUCUAUGUCGGAUUAUCUAGUUGGCUGGGUAAAGGCCUACCAAGCCGACGAUCCGUAACUGGUCUGAGAGGAUGAUCAGACACACUGGAACUGAGACACGGUCCAGACUCCUACGGGAGGCAGCAGUGGGGAAUAUUGGACAAUGGGCGAAAGCCUGAUCCAGCCAUGCCGCGUGUGUGAAGAAGGUCUUCGGAUUGUAAAGCACUUUUGGUUGGGAAGAAGAGCAGGAGGUUAAUACCAUGCUGUUUUGACGGUACCAAAAGAAUAAGCACCGGCUAACUUCGUG